GGCCUGUGAUGGAAAAAUAAUUGUCCGUACCAUCUGAAGAUAUCUGUCUUUUGAUGCAUCUCUUUACCUAGAUUCUGAGGCCU
rnacentral:snoRNA from 9 species